rnacentral:tRNA from 1 species
UGGGUCUAUGGUGUAAUGGAUCGCACAAUCGGCUUCGGACCGGUUAAUCGGGGUUCGAAUCCUCGUAGGCCCAU